ensembl:lncRNA
AUGCAACGUCUUCCACCCUCUGGGGGAAGAGGAAAGCUCCUAAAUAAUGAUCAAGAGCUUGCCAUUGUAGAAAUGGUUGUUGCAAAUAAUGCAAUAAAACUGCAUGAAAUUCAAACUAGAACUGUAGAGGACCAUGAGAUAUUUGACAAUAUCGAUAGCAUCAGCCUCACAACGAUUACGCGGACAUUGUCCAAACACAGAGUGCGGAUGAAGCAGCUCUACACUGUUCCCUUUGAGAGGAACAGUGAGAGAGUCAAGGAGCUACGACAACAAUAUGUCCAGAGAGUUAUGGAAUUGGAGGCCAACCAGGCCCCUCAUGAAUUCAUAUACAUAGAUGAGGCAGGAUUCAAUCUGGCCAAAAGGCAUCGACGUGGACAAAAUUUAAUUGGGAAAAGGGCCACAGUUGAUGUGCCAGGACAGAGAGGGGCAAACAUUACCAUGUGUGCAGCAAUUGCAAAUGCAGGAUUACUCCUUCACAGAUGUCAGGUUGGACCCUAUAAUACCGAGCGCCUCCUUGCCUUUCUCAAUGAUCUCCACCAGCGCCUGGUUCCAGAGCAGGAUCAGGAGGGCGAAAACAUGAGGACCUUUGUAAUUACCUGGGACAAUGUGGCUUUCCAUCAUUCGCAAGCAAUAACAACAUGGUUUGAAGUCCACCCAAGACUGAUAUGUGUCUUCCUUCCACCCUAUUCACCUUUCCUCAACCCCAUAGAGGAGUUAUUUUCUGCAUGGAGGUGGAAGGUUUAUGACCAUCAGCCACAUGACCAGAUGUCCCUCCUUAAAGCCAUGGAUGCUGGCUGCAGGGACAUCACAAUUCAUGAUUGCCAAGGGUGGAUCCGACAUACCAAGCGGUUUUAUCCCAGGUGCAUCACCUUGGAUAAUAUCAGAUGUGAUGUUGAUGAAAACAUGUGGCCUAACCCUGAAGAUCGCAGAGAUUAGAUACAGUAAUUUUGUGCCUGGGUUUUUAGUUCCCCCCUUUUUAUCUGGGCUUUUUGCUGAUGUUUUUUUAAUUCAGAAUGCUCUUGUGUGUUUCAUGGAUAUUUUUUUACUGUAAGCAAUACUGUAAAACUUUUUCUGUUCUGUCAUACUGUGUUUCUACUGUACCUCCUGUAGUAAACAGUAAAGGAAAAUAAAACUGAUUUGCUUUUUACUGGAAAGCUUUUGAAUGUGAACAUUACUGUACAUGUGGACAUACAGUUCCCAACCAAGAAAUUUAGUGUAAAAACUGUGGAUUGCAUGUUUUGCAUGCAAAUACCUGUAAAACUGAAACAUAAAAGUCUAUGCAGUUUUUGUAAUGUCAACAAUAGCCAGUAUUUUGAAACCUGGUGUACUUUGAUUGACUGCAUGUACCUUGUGAAGUGAAAACAAGUGUUAUUCUUUGACAGAAUAAUUUCAUUUUGAGUCAGAUUUACAGUGUUUUGGUAAAGUUAGUGUGUGCAGAGAAAGAUGUGUUCUAUUUUGAAAUGAAGAGUUAGUAUAUAUUUAACAAAAUGUGUUUUUGAGAAGAAAAUUAUCCAUUUGGCCAAUUGUGUUUUGUAGGUGUGAGUCUGUGUUAAGAGUUUAGAAAAAGUAUCUGAAGUAUCAGAGGCUCAGAGGCUCCCAUCGAGGGACCAUACAUGCAGAGCCCAGAGUUCUGGCUGUGGAUGCCAGAUUGUCCUGUUCGCCUGAGAGAGGAGGUCCCGCCUCAGGGGGAUCGGCCAUGGGGCUUUCAUGGAAAGCCUGAAUAGCUCCGAGGACCAAACUUGGCUCCUCCAGAGUGGGGCCACCAGGAGGACUCUGUGCCUGUCUUCCCUGACUCGUCUGAUGACCUGAGGGAUCAGAGCGAUCGGGGGAAAAGCAUAAAGAAGGAGGCUGGGCCAGUCGUGGGCCAGCGCAUCUGUGUCCUUUGAAAAAUAAGUUGGGCAAUGAGAGUUGUUUUCUGAGGCGAAGAGGUCGACCUCUGCCUUCCCGAAAAUCUCCCAGAUUUUGAGAACCGUCUGGGGAUGGAGCAUCCACUCGUCUGAGGGGACAUUGCUCCGUGAAAGCAUGUCUGCUCCCAGAUUCGUCUUGCCAGGUAUGUGUGUCGCCUUGAGCGAUCGCAACCUGGGUAAUGCCCAUUCCAAGAGGUGCUUUGCCAGUGCGCAGAGGCGGAUGGACGAAAGGCCGCCUUGGUGAUUUAUGUAGGACACCACUGUCAUGCUGUCCGACUGGACUAGGACGUGGCACCCUUCCAGGAUCGCCUGAAAGGAUUGAAGGGCUCGUUCUACUGCCAGCAUCUCAAGGCAGUUGAUAUGGAGAUGGCUUUCCUCGUGCGACCACGAGCCGAAGGUUGGUCUGCCCUCGCACAGAGCACCCCAACCCAGGUUGGACGCAUCUGUUGAGAGCACCGUCCUUCUGGAAACCGCCUGUAGGGGUACUCCACGACUGAACCAAACAGGGUUCAUCCAAGGCUCCAGGGCUGCUAGACAGGCCUGGUUGACCCUGAUGCGAAAGCGGCCGUGCCGCCAAGCAUGAGGUGGGACCCGGAGUUUCAGCCAGUAUUGCAGGGGCCGCAUUCAUAGGAGGCCGAGCUGUAAAACUGGGGAGGCGGAAGCCAUCAGCCCUAGCAUCCUCUGAAAGAACUUCAGAGGGAAACAGGCUUUGUUCCUGACGGAGGCCGUGAGCUGCUGAAGUACCAGAGCGCGCUCUGGUGAUAUGACCGCCCUCAUAUUGGCUGAGUCGAAAACCGCUACCAGGAACGUAAUACGUUGGCUGGGGAGCAGUGAGCUCUUGGCGAAAUUGACCUUGAGUCCUGGGCACUCUAAGUGGCUCAGGAGUACAGAUCUGUGUGUUCUAGCUCGGUUCGUGACUGGGCCAGAAUGUCUCAGAGGGGAAAGCGCCUCAUUCAUGCACUUCGUGAAAGUGCGGGGAGCUAGAGACAGCCCAAAGGGAAGGACUGUAUAUUGGUAAGCCACACCCUCGAACGCGAAUCUCAAGAAUCGUCUGUGAUGGGGGGCUAUCUGGAUGUGAAAGUAAGUGUCUUUCAGGUCCAGCGAGAAGAACCAGUCCUCGGGGCAAAUCUGCAUGAGGAUCUGCUUCAAUGUCAACAUCCUGAACUUCCGUUUCAUGAGGGAGAGGUUCAGGUAUCUGAGGUCUAAGAUGGGUCUGAGACCGCCAUCUUUCUUGGGGACAAGGAAAUAACGGCUGUAGAACCCCGAUCCGCUUUCUGAGGGAGGAACCAUCUCUAUGGCUCCCUUCCUUAACAGCGUCAUCACUUCGGUGCGGAGGACCUGAGCGUCGUCCGGCUCUACCAAGGUGGGAAUCACCCCGCGAAAACGCGGGGGUCUUCAGGCGAACUGCAGUGAGUAGCCGUGUUUUAUUAUCCCCAACACCCACUUGGACACUCCGGGGAUGGCCUGCCAGGCCUCGGCCCGCGUGACAAGAGGCUGGAUAGUGUCGGAUGGCAGGCCGCUGAUUAGGGGCCUGAACACUGACGAGUGUAGAAGAGGAAAACUGCUCUCUUUUUGAAAAUGUGAAAUAUUUGUGUUUGCCAUAACAAUGUCGCUUUGCGUGGACGCAACAACAGUGGGCCCAGGUCACAUAGCAGGCAGGCCAGAGAGCUUCUGGGGUGGUCCGGCCGUGGCGGGACUUUGCCCCUUCCUCUUUCUUCCCCAACGAUCAGGAGGAUUUAGAGGGCGUCGGGUCCAGCACAAUCCUUUGCCGGGGGCCCUGACGUCUAGGCGGUUUAGCGCGCUUAGUGGGGCGAGCUGGGUGCUGCUCCUUAGAGGGCGCCGCCUGGGGGGUAGAAGGGACAGGUUUGCUCUGGUGCUGAGUCGGCGCAGUCCUGGGUCGACUCGGGGCAGAGGUGGAGCGCUUGGGCAGGAAGUGUCGCAUGGCCUGGGACGACUUCUGUGCUGCAGUGAAGCACUCUGUAAACCCUUCUACAGCUGGCCCGAAGAGACCAGAUGGAGAGAAUGGGGCAUCGAGAAAGGCCACUUUGUCGCUCUCCUUAAUCUCUGUUAGGUUGAGCCAGAGGUGGCGCUCCAGCACAACCAGGUUGGCCAUGGAUCGUCCGAUGUCCUGGGCCGUGGCUUUCGUGGCGCGCAGGGCCAAAUCUGUGGCGCUGCGGAGGUCGUGAAAAGCAGGUUCACUAGGGCUAGACUCAUCCAGGGAAUGGAGAAGCUUUGCCUGGAACACUUGCAAUACAGUAGGUGGACAUCCAAAACGUUACUUCUACCGCCGCUCAUACCGCCGCUGCGGCGUCUGCAAAGUGCAUUUGCAGCUUUUGACCGCUGAGUGGAGCUUUAAUCACAAGUUUUCAAACAAGCGCAUCAAAGCACAUUUUCGCAAAUAGACGUCAGUUUUGCCUCACUGAUGUGUUACAUUUGACGGCUGCAGUCAGGGAAAAUGAAAGAAAAACACUAUAGUUAAAAUAUUUAAUAUUCACAGAUGAAAGUUUGGUACUUAUGAAGUUAUGUGCAUUUCUUAGAACGAAUUCAAGCAGGAUAAAUGUCAAGCCUGUGCCUGAGCCUGUGCUUAUAUUUUCUCUAAGCUACACAGUAUUACACCAUAUUUUAGAUUUGACACAUUUAAUAGGUGUGCAGUAUUAUUUAUAUAAUAUGAAUUAUGUGUUAUAUUAUUCAAAAUAAAUUGUGGUUUACUUUGCAUCGUAGCAUUAAAAGUGGUAGCCUAUUUUAGUGAGCUAGGCUACAUGAAUUUAUAUGCAAAAUGUCAAUAUUCUCAUAUAUUAGGCCUAUAUUUUAAUUUAUAUUUUAAAAUUCCUUUAAUAAAACAACAUGCAUUUUUGUUAUUCGUUACCUGUCCUUUAUUUUGACAGACAACUUCUUGGGAAAAUAUAUUUGUCUGUAGACUGAUUAAGAAAUUGUUGCGUGUUUUAUAAAUUAUUUUCUUUAUUUUAGUAAAACGUGAGGCACUGUAUAAUUUCGGUCCCAUUAUUUAGGCCUAAUUAAAACAAGAAACGAAUAAAUUAAACCUGCACGAUUUAGCUAAAUCAUUGAAAUUCUAAAGAAUGGACUGAUUAAUAAAACGUCCUCACGAUUAAACUCAAGUUCUCUCAUUAUAAUCACCAAAGUUCAAAUGAUGUAAAAAAGAGCUUCAUUAAUAGACAACUUCAGUGAUUUUAAAGGGAGCCGCCGUUACUUGCUUACAUAGAAUUUAAGUUUAAAAAAUAAAAUUAAAUUGCAGCCGCAUUUAAAUGCAGGUGUGUAAAAUGUCUGCGUGCAAGAUUUGCGCGGCGCGAGUGAUGCUGAGUGCACGCGCAGCAUUUAUUCUCAUUUGUUUUAUCUUCAUUACAAAUCUUGUUUGGUUUUAUUUUGGAUAAUUGCAUGUAAAAAAUAAUUAACGUUGUAAUGCAUAUGCAAAAUGUGAAUAAUUAUUCAUAUUUAAGUGUUUGUGCGAAAAUUAUUAAUGUGCAUGCAGGACAGGGAGGCGCCCUCUAGAUCACUUGAAUUUUUUCCUGAUAAUGAAUUAACUUAAAAUUGUGGUGUCUCACAUACAUGAUAAAUAUAUCUACAGAAAGCUUGAAAUGUCGUUUAAACGACUCAAUUCAGAACGAAAGCAUUAUGUAAUCUGUGAAGGAUGUAUUUCUCUCUAAAGCCGCGUUCAUGUGGAGAGAGUCAGCACUGUGAAUUUCAUCUUGCAGCCA